CCUACGGGUGGCAGCAGUGAGGAAUAUUGGUCAAUGGACGCAAGUCUGAACCAGCCAUGCCGCGUGAGUGAAGAAGUAUCUCGGUAUGUAAAGCUCUAUCAGCAGGGAAGAAAAUGACGGUACCUGACUAAGAAGCCCCGGCUAACUACGUGCCAGCAGCCGCGGUAAUACGUAGGGGGCAAGCGUUAUCCGGAUUUACUGGGUGUAAAGGGAGCGUAGACGGCGCUGCAAGUCCGGAGUGAAAGCCCAUGGCUUAACCAUGGUACUGCUCUGGAAACUGUGGAGCUUGAGUGCGGGAGGGGCAGGCGGAAUUCCUAGUGUAGCGGUGAAAUGCGUAGAUAUUAGGAGGAACACCGGCGGCGAAGGCGGCCUGCUGGACCGUAACUGACGUUGAGGCUCGAAAGCGUGGGGAGCAAACAGGAUUAGAUACCCGAGUAGUC
rnacentral:rRNA from 1 species